GGUGAACGCUGGCGACGUGCUUAAUGCAUGCAAGUCGAGCGGUCCGCAAGGACAGCGGCAGACGGCUGAGCAACACGUGAAUAACUUGCCCUCUAGUGGGGAAUAAUUCGCCGAAAGGCG
rnacentral:rRNA from 1 species